UCACUGGCUUUUUAUUCACUCUCAAAACCAUGCAAGCACCGUUCGGACCAAAACCUAUUCUGUUUUCAUGUGCUCCCUCAACCAUAGCUCAUGGCUGUCUCACUUUGACCGAGAGAAACAGGAUUUAUGCUUCAAGAAUAGCAUGGGCACACGACUGCACCUUUCAAUUGCUUCAUGCAUGACAGCCUACCAGCACAGGGGAGGCACAAGUACAGCCUUCUCAAACCCUGCACAUUUCUGAAAAAGACAGACACUCAGCUGGGAGAGACAUAUUUUCUUUGGACAGACCCUGGAGACCUCUCAGCACGCAGAGAAAGCCUACCUCUCCUGAAGGACAGCAAGCUGUUUCCAUGCACUGUUCUCCCAGAGCAUGAACAUUCACAAUGGCAGUGCAGUGGGAAUUGUGCAGUUGGUAUAACAUGAAGGACCAGGCAGCAUUACAUCAGUGCAGCAGCCUCUGAACCAGCCCAAAAGUGCCAGGCCAUGAAUCAUCAUGGGGUUCUACUGCAUAAAGAGGUUAUUUCCUGCCUGAUGUUUUGCAAAGGUGGAAGGCUGAGCCAGGAGGGUAGGGAUAAGGGAGCAGCUCCUCGCCACAUCACCAGCUGCCUCCCACAUAGGAAUGCACCUUGUUUGCAACAGGAAAGCUUUGCUGAUCCCUCAAGGAUCACAUGCAGUGUCUGUUUUCACACGAUGAUACCUAGAAGGAAUAGCUGGGGACAAAACCAAGCGUCAGUAUAUGUCAAGUGUCCGGGCAGUGCAAGGGCAGGCUGGAUGCCUCUCAGAGCAAAGCAGGCAGCGGAAUAUCCGCGAGCAUAGAGGCCAACCCUGCUGAGAAGCCAGGAGGGGUGAGCGUAUCAUGGUUAGUAUUAUUCACUGAAGAACUACUGGAUGAUGGUUGCUCAGCGAUGUGGGUAAGGAUGCCCUCGGGGUCUCCGAGGGGAACGGGACAUUGCCUGCAUCAGCCCUGGCCCCAACGCUGCCUGCAAAGGGAGAGGACCGCACCGAGCACAGCGCGGCGGCUACGGAGCACCGCGAAGCUCGGGGCUGCAGCACCACCGCGUGUCAGCGCCGGGAACACCACCUGCGGGGGGACCGAGCCUCGACGGGAAGCGCGGGGCCGAACAUGACAAAACCCACCUUUUGGCAACUAAAUGAGAACGGCUGGUUUGGGGUUUUGAAGAGUGGUACCAGCAUCUGGAACCUGUAAGCCUUCUGCCAAGUGUCAAUCUAUGUAUGUUGUGUCUAGGCAACAUUAGCUCUUUCAGAAAAGAAAAUUCAGAUCCCAUCAAUAAAGGAACGUCUUAAAGAGGAAUUCAGAUUUUAAACUUCUCAGCAUUAUGAGUGGGUUCAUAGUGGUUAGCUGCAUAUGCACUCAUGCAUCAGGUGCCAUGCAGAGUGAUGUUUGCAGGAGCCACAGCUUCCUGCACAGACUGGGGUGCGCUUCGCAUUACAGGGCCUGGCACCGAAUGCAGUAACUGCCAAAGGAUGCUAUUUCAAAGGAAAUCUUCCUCUCUCACAAGUGUGUGAUAGUUUUAUGGGAGUAUCAGAGCCUUUCAGACAUAGCUCCUUUCUUGUUUUGAAGGACCCCCGUCCACGUGGGAAAGCUUGGAAACAUGGCCAUAGCUCUCAGAUGCAGAGAGAAGAGCUCCGAGGACAAAGGCUCAUAUCCCUGAUCGUAAUCAUCCUGAUCAUAAUUUGCUGAAAAUGCAACCACCUGCAUGCUUCUCGCUCUGAUUAAUCUCGGAUCUGGUGAUUUGCACAGCUGACAAUACCACGGCAAAAGCCUACAAUCACGUAACUUGACCUGAAAGCCCUCAGUGAUAAACAGGUAGAAUGUAGCACCUGCUGCAGGAUGCUACAUCACAGAAGGAGUUUCAGUUCUGAAAGCAUGCUGCACUAUUGUACCUGUCAGAGCCUGCACACAUAGCUCCCUUCUCUCCCUGGGAGCACGUGUCCUGUGGCAAGAGCUGGGGGAUGUGGGCUUGUUCAGCCUGGAGAAGAAAAAGCUUUGGAGUCAUGAGAUUCUUCACAGCAACCUUUCAGUAACUAGGAGGUGGUUCUGUGUUCUAUGAUAUGGGGAGAUCUUCUUUCUAAAAGCUGAGUUAUAAGAAUCUUUCACAACAUGCAGAUGAAGCCAGCAAUCAGGAAAUCUACAGGUCUUGCCUUCAUUUCUCAGGAACAUCCUGGUGAGAUCUGAUGAAGCGAUGUCUACUCUUCCUGAUCUCAGAAGGUUUCCUUUCUCCCCAGUUGUGAGUUGUUAGCUAUUGUUUCCUUGAAGAGGGAAGUCACUAGGGUUUAACGAAGGCAAGAAAGCUACAAUUCUGGGACUGUUUUGAUCAGUUUCCUGUGCUCUCAUGAAAACCAAGCACCACCUGCUGUCCAAAAAAAAUAAGGUCUUUAAGUCUUUAACAAUCAACCCCAAGCUAACUGCACCGGGCUUGAAGACUUCAGCAUAGAACUUGCUUCUGCAGAUUUCCAGACCCUAACAGCAGCCCAGAUCAAGCUCCAGAAAUUCAUGGCUGCUUGAAGUCCAAGACACUCACGUCUACUGGUUCCAGCUUUGUGCUGCUUCCUGCCCUGUAACUGGGCAUGAGCCUUUAGACAGACAUAAUAAAAGCCUCCUUAAGCUACUGCAAACUUA